GAUGAACGCUGGCGGCGUGCCUAAUACAUGCCAGUCGAGCGAACAGACGAGGAGCUUGCUCCUCUGACGUUAGCGGCGGACGGGUGAGUAACACGUGGAUAACCUACCUAUAAGACUGGGAUAACUUCGGGAAACCGGAGCUAAUACCGGAUAAUAUAUUGUACCGCAUGGUUCAAUAGUGAAAGACGGUUUUGCUGUCACUUAUAGAUGGAUCCGCGCCGCAUUAGCUAGUUGGUAAGGUAACGGCUUACCAAGGCAACGAUGCGUAGCCGACCUGAGAGGGUGAUCGGCCACACUGGAACUGAGACACGGUCCAGACUCCUACGGGAGGCAGCAGUAGGGAAUCUUCCGCAAUGGGCGAAAGCCUGACGGAGCAACGCCGCGUGAGUGAUGAAGGUCUUCGGAUCGUAAAACUCUGUUAUUAGGGAAGAACAAAUGUGUAAGUAACUAUGCACGUCUUGACGGUACCUAAUCAGAAAGCCACGGCUAACUACGUG
rnacentral:rRNA from 1 species